rnacentral:lncRNA from 1 species
GGACUCACCAUCCUGUCCCAGCCGCUCAUAUAUGUGAAAGUGCUCAUCCAGGUGGGAUAUGAACCUCUUCCUCCAACAAUAGGACAGAAUAUUUUUGGGAGACAAGUAUGUCAGCUUCCUGGCCUCUUUUGCUAUGCUCAGCACAUUGCAAGCAUCGAUGGGAGGCGUGGGUUGUUCACAGGCUUGACUCCAAGACUGUGCUCAGGAGUCCUUGGAACUGUGGUCUAUGGGAAAGUCUUACAGUAUUACCAGGAGUCUGAGAAACCUAAGGAGUUAGGAUCUGUAACUGUACAAAAAGAAUGUUCAUCCUCCUUUGACUGAGUUAUCAAAGAGACAACCUGAGAGAUGAUUGCUCAUUCUGCUGCUACCCUCAUUACACAUCCCUUCCACGUGAUCACUCUGAGGUCCAUGGUACAGUUUAUUGGCAGAGAAUCUAAGUACUGUAGAUUGUGUGACUCCAUAGUAACCAUCUACCGGGAAGAAGGCAUGGUAGGAUUUUUUUGUGGGUCUCAUUCCUCACCUCCUAGGUGACAUUUCUUUGUGGCUGUGUAACUCACUGGCCUAUCUCAUCAAUACCUAUGCACUGGACAGUGGGGUUUCUACCAUGAAUGAAAUGAAAAGUUAUUCCCAAGCUGUCACAGGAUUCUUUGCCAGUAUGUUGACAUAUCCCUUUGUGCUUAUAUCUAAUCUUAUGGCCAUCAACAACUGUGGGCUUGCUGGUGGAUCUCCUCCUUAUUCCCCAAUAUACACUUCUUGGAUAGAUUGCUGGUGCAUGCAACAAAAAGCAGGAAAUAAGAGCCAAGGAAACAGCUUGUUUUUCCAGAAGGUUCCUUGUGGGAAAACUUACUGUUAUGACCUAAGACUAUUAAUCUGA